GAUGAACGCUGGCGGCGUGCCUAAUACAUGCAAGUCGAGCGAACAGACGAGGAGCUUGCUCCUCUGACGUUAGCGGCGGACGGGUGAGUAACACGUGGAUAACCUACCUAUAAGACUGGGAUAACUUCGGGAAACCGGAGCUAAUACCGGAUAAUAUAUUGAACCGCAUGGUUCAAUAGUGAAAGACGGUUUUGCUGUCACUUAUAGAUGGAUCCGCGCCGCAUUAGCUAGUUGGUAAGGUAACGGCUUACCAAGGCAACGAUGCGUAGCCGCCCUGAGAGGGUGAUCGGCCACACUGGAACUGAGACUCGGUCCAGACUCCUACGGGAGGCAGCAGUCGGGACUCCUCCGCGAUGGGCGAAUGCCUGACGGAGCACCGCCGCGUGAGUGAUGAAGGUCUUCGGAUCGUAAAACUCUGUUAUUAGGGAAGAACAAAUGUGUAAGUAACUAUGCACGUCUUGACGGUACCUAAUCAGAAAGCCACGGCUAACUACGUG
rnacentral:rRNA from 1 species